GUGUAGUUCAGUGGUUGAGUGCCUGCUUAGCAUGCACAAGGCCCUGGGUUUGAUCCCCAGUGCACG
rnacentral:tRNA from 1 species